rnacentral:tRNA from 1 species
UGGCGCAAUAGAAAGCAUGGCGGACUUCAAAUCCGUUAGAUGCAGGUUCAAAUCCUGUG